UAAAGAUUCAUCGCUGAUAGAUAGGCAUGCGUUCCAUUAGGCAGUUGGCGGGGUAACGGCCCACCAAACCGACGAUGGAUAGGGGUUCUGAGAGGAAGGUCCCCCACAUUGGUACUGAGACACGGACCAAACUCCUACGGGAGGCAGCAGUGAGGAAUAUUGGUCAAUGGGCGCGAGCCUGAACCAGCCAAGUCGCGUGAGGGAUGAAGGUUCUAUGGAUCGUAAACCUCUUUUAUAAGGGAAUAAAGUGUGGGACGUGUCCUAUUUUGUAUGUACCUUAUGAAUAAGGAUCGGCUAACUCCGUGCCAGCAGCCGCGGUAAUACGGAGGAUCCGAGCGUUAUCCGGAUUUAUUGGGUUUAAAGGGUGCGUAGGCGGCCUUUUAAGUCAGCGGUGAAAGUCUGUGGCUCAACCAUAGAAUUGCCGUUGAAACUGGGGGGCUUGAGUAUGUUUGAGGCAGGCGGAAUGCGCGGUGUAGCGGUGAAAUGCUUAGAUAUCACGCAGAACCCCGAUUGCGAAGGCAGCCUGCCAAGCCAUGACUGACGCUGAUGCACGAAAGCGUGGGGAUCAAACAGGAUUAGAUACCCUGGUAGUCCACGCAGUAAACGAUGAUCACUAGCUGUUUGCGAUACAGUGUAA
rnacentral:rRNA from 1 species